CCAGGACCAAGGUCAGCAGCAGGCGCGAAAAUUAUCGAAGCCCGCCUAGGGGCGAUAGUGAGGAGACGUGUAUUCGAAGUACGUGUAAAGAACGUACUAAUAACUGGAGGUCAAGUCUGGUGCCAGCAUCCGCGGUAAUUCCAGCUCCAGGGGUGUCUAUGAUGAUUGCUGCGAUUAAAAAGUCCGUAGUCAAGCUGACUGACUGACCUGCAAUGUGAUUGAUUAAAGAACGAGCAGGGUUAGGAAAGCAGAGAAUUAGGAGCGACCGAGGGCUAGAGUAUUGAAUGGCGAGAGGUGAAAUUUGAUGACCCAUUCAGGAGUGACAAAGGCGAAGGCACUAGUCAAGGGCGAAUCCGAUGAUCAAGGACGUAGGCUAGAGUUUCGAAAACGAUUAGAAACCGGAGUAGUUCUAGCAGUAAACUAUGCCGACGCCGUGAUAUUGUUUUUUGUGGCGGUAUUGCGGAAGAGAAAUCAAGUAGGGCUUUGGGGAGAGUACGCGCGCAAGCGAUAAAUU
rnacentral:rRNA from 1 species